GAUGAACGCUGGCGGCGUGCUUAACACAUGCAAGUCGAACGGAAAGGCCCUGCUUUUGUGGGUUGCUCGAGUGGCGAACGCGUGAGUAUCACGCGUGUAACCUGCCCCUGACAUUGGGAUAACUCCUGUAAACAGGGGCUAAUAUCGGAUAGAAGCUCCUGCUGCGUGGUGUGCGUUGGAUAGUUUCGGCGGUUUGGGAUGGACUCGCGGCUUACGAGCUUGUUGGUGGGGUGGUCGCUUACCAAGGGUUUGGCGGGUAGCCGGCCUGAGAGGGGGACCGGGAACCUGUGGACUGAGCUACGGCCCAGACUAGUACGGGAGACAGCAGUGGGGAAUAGUGCACAAUGGGGGCAAGUCUGAUGAAGCAACGCCGCGUGCGGGAUGGUGGCCUUCUGGUUGAAAACCACUAUGUCCGGUACCGAUGCCUGAUUGACGGUACUGGAUAAAUAAGCACCGGCUAACUACGUG
rnacentral:rRNA from 1 species